GUAUUUGUCGUCUUUUCCGCAGUAUUAGAUCGCUGUUUAAUCUCUAAUACUGUUUGGUAAAGAUGCCAUUUCG
rnacentral:pre_miRNA from 1 species